UUAAAGUUUGAUUCUUUCUUUGUUUCUUAUGAAUAUAUUAUUGAAAUUGCAUGAAAAUUGUGGUGUGAAUAGGUACCGUUUAUUUAUUGGAUGGUAAUUGUUAAUAAAUUUAUUAAAUUUAGAGUUUUUGAUAUAAGAAAUCUCAGCAUACAGUAUUAAAUAUUGACAUAUUAACGUAUGGUUUAGCAAUAAUUUAAGGUCUGAUAAAAUAUUGUGCCAGCAGUCGCGGUUAUACUAUGAGGCCAAGUGAGGAUUGUGUUAGUUUUUGUUAAAUGAUAUUAUAGUAAUAAUAGAAUUAAAAUAAAUAAAAGGUGAAAUUGGAUUGUUGUUUUGUAAGGAAGGUGUUGAAUAUUACUUUAAUUGAAACUAAGAGAUUCUGGAUUUAAACUAGGAUUAGAUACCCUAUUAUACUAGAAUGGGAUUAUAUAAAGCUUGAUUAUUAAUAGAUAUAUUCUUUAAAUUUGAAGAAUUUGGCGGUGAUUUAGUCUUGUCAGAGGAACCUGUUUUUUAAUCGAUAAACCACGAAAAAUCUUACUUAUUAGUUAGAAAGUUUGUAUACCAUCAUUAUUAGAUAAUUUCGAGAGAAGAAAUUAUUGUUUAUUAUUGAAUUAAAGAAAUUAGAUCAAGGUGCAGCUUAUAAAUAAGUUAAAAUGGGUUACAAUAAGUUUUAUUUAUUACGGAAAAGUGUAGGAAGAUAUAUUUGGAAGGAGGAUUUGAUUGUAAUAUAAAUUUAAUAUGGUUAGAAGAUAUAAGCUCUAAAUCAUGUACAUAUCGCCCGUCGCUUU
rnacentral:rRNA from 1 species